rnacentral:lncRNA from 1 species
UUUGUUUGUUACUUCAAACUUAUCUAAUUUAUUGCACUCCCUUUUUGAAGAACGAAAGAAAAUUAUAGAAAAUAUUGUUGUUUGAAAAAGAAAAAAAAAUAGAAGAAAAAAUAUUUAUAGAUAUAUAUACAUAUAUAGGAAAUAAAAUUGAUCAGGAGUUGUCUCCCAUAGACCUAGAACUAUAAAGAUUUAUGUAAUUUCUCCAGGUCACAGUGGCACCCA